ACUCGAUAAUCCACGAAUAUUCAACCUUAUCUAGAAACUCAGCAUGUAUACUGCCGUUGUAAGCAUACCUCUAAAAGAAUAAGUGUGCCACUAUGAUUAAAACUCAUACACAUCAGGUCAAAGUGCAGCCGAUGAAAAGGUGAUGAUGGGUUACAACCCAAAAAUAGACUAUCAAUCAAGAAAUAAAAAAUCUUAAGAAAGUGGACUUGGCUGUAAUCAAUUUACAAGUUAAAAAUAUGAAUAAAGAUCUAAGACAUGUACACAUCGCCCGUCACUCUACCCUAAAGGGUAGAUAAGUCGUAACAAAGUAGGUGUAAUGGAAAUUGCACCUGUCGAAGUAUAGCAUAUAAAAUGCUUUCUACUUACACUAGAACUAAAGUUAAAUAACUUACUCCGCCCAAUAAAACAAACCCUAUAAACCAAAAAUAAUAGAAAUAUCUAUAUAAUAAAAUAAAUUAAUAAAGUACAGAAAUGGAAAUAGCAAUAAAUAACAGUAAAUAUUAAUAAUUGUACCUUGUGCAUUAUGGUUUUACAAGAAAAUAGUUAAAUAUAUUCAUCCCGAAUUCUAAAUGAGAUGCUAAACUGCCGUUAAGAACCCAUUAAUAUCUGUAGAAAAAGAUUUAAAAGACAGUUUAACAGAGGCUACAUACCAUACGCAUAAGAAUAUAGCUGGUUUUCAACAAACAUUAUACAUUAAGCCAUAUAAUUAUAUUAUAGUGUAAUAUUAUUGAGGAUAAGCCCAAUAAUCUAAGCAAUAUUUAUAAAUUUCACUAUAAACCAAUAGGCCUAAAAUCAGCCAACUAAAAUACUUUACCGUAUCAAAUAUAGAUAAAAUAUAUAAUUAUAUAAUGCCAAAUAAAGUUGAAAUAAUAGAUAAACCAAAUUUAAUCAAUUUAUAUUAUGUAAAAAUAAGUAUUAUAAAAUUAUAACAUAUAUAACCUAGUAAAUACAAUAAAUAAAACAAAAUAAUUAAUUAAGGAACUCGGCAAAUUAUUAUUUCGACUGUUUAACAAAAACAUUGUCCUAUGAAAUAAAAUAUAAGAU
rnacentral:rRNA from 1 species